CGUCUCUUCAGGUUUGGACUCCGUGGAAUGAGACGAAACCUAUUCGAGGGGAACAACAGGGAAGGGCUUUUUGGGCCUCCUCUGCCGGCAUUUCUAGAGUUUUCUAUCCAGAAGUAAAAUUCUCGCCAGAAAAAAAGUUCCUUUUCUUUUUGCAGUUGUCCUCUUCCCGCUGCCCUAGGAGCGCUAAACAUCCCCAGAAGAGCCCUUCGGACUUCGUGGGAUGUCCGCUUCCUGGGACCCCAGGUCCAAGGGUAGUAAAAUCGGGGGGCACUGCCAGCUUCGUUCGGGGACAGAACGUCCUCUCUGUGUUGGGAACCCGAUCGAAGCCAAAGCGACAGCGGCCCCGCACAUCUCACCGCGAGCACCCACGCCGCUGGCGCCCAGUGGGGUGUGGUCGGAUACACAGGCGGGCAGCUGCUGAAACUCAGUAGUUCCUGGAUCUUCACUAUUUGGCCCCAGGAUGGUUUCUCCCCGCCCUCAUCAGGUGCAACUGGUCUCUGCACUAUCUGCAGCCCUGCAACUACCCUGACCUGCAUGAUUCCACACCGAUUCCAGAGAACUACCAGGCUGCAGAGGCUGAAGGCACAGGCAUGGGACUUACCACGGUCAGUCUCCAGACAGAUAUCCAGGCUGAACUGGGAACAGUCCUCCUUGAACUGCCUUCAGUAAGGAAUGUGUAUCCUCAUUCUGUAUCCCGCCAUGGAAACUGCAGAACGC
ensembl:lncRNA